GAUGAACGCUGGCGGCGUGCCUAAUACAUGCAAGUCGAGCGAACAGACGAGGAGCUUGCUCCUCUAACGUUAGCGGCGGACGGGUGAGUAACACGUGGAUAACCUACCUAUAAGACUGGGAUAACUUCGGGAAACCGGAGCUAAUACCGGAUAAUAUAUUGAGCCGCAUGGUUCAAUAGUGAAAGACGGUUUUGCUGUCACUUAUAGAUGGAUCCGCGCCGCAUUAGCUAGUUGGUAAGGUAACAGCUUACCAAGGCAACGAUGCGUAGCCGACCUGAGAGGGUGAUCGGCCACACUGGAACUGAGACACGGUCCAGACUCCUACGGGAGGCAGCAGUAGGGAAUCUUCCGCAAUGGGCGAAAGCCUGACGGAGCAACGCCGCGUGAGUGAUGAAGGUCUUCGGAUCGUAAAACUCUGUUAUUAGGGAAGAACAAAUGUGUAAGUAACUAUGCACGUCUUGACGGUACCUAAUCAGAAAGCCACGGCUAACUACGUGCCAGCAGCCGCGGUAAUACGUAGGUGGCAAGCGUUAUCCGGAAUUAUUGGGCGUAAAGCGCGCGUAGGCGGUUUUUUAAGUCUGAUGUGAAAGCCCACGGCUCAACCGUGGAGGGUCAUUGGAAACUGGAAAACUUGAGUGCAGAAGAGGAAAGUGGAAUUCCAUGUGUAGCGGUGAAAUGCGCAGAGAUAUGGAGGAACACCAGUGGCGAAGGCGACUUUCUGGUCUGUAACUGACGCUGAUGUGCGAAAGCGUGGGGAUCAAACAGGAUUAGAUACCCUGGUAGUCCACGCCGUAAACGAUGAGUGCUAAGUGUUAAGGGGUUUCCGCCCCUUAGUGCUGCAGCUAACGCAUUAAGCACUCCGCCUGGGGAGUACGACCGCAAGGUUGAAACUCAAAGGAAUUGACGGGGACCCGCACAAGCGGUGGAGCAUGUGGUUUAAUUCGAAGCAACGCGAAGAACCUUACCAAAUCUUGACAUCCUCUGACCCCUCUAGAGAUAGAGUUUUCCCCUUCGGGGGACAGAGUGACAGGUGGUGCAUGGUUGUCGUCAGCUCGUGUCGUGAGAUGUUGGGUUAAGUCCCGCAACGAGCGCAACCCUUAAGCUUAGUUGCCAUCAUUAAGUUGGGCACUCUAAGUUGACUGCCGGUGACAAACCGGAGGAAGGUGGGGAUGACGUCAAAUCAUCAUGCCCCUUAUGAUUUGGGCUACACACGUGCUACAAUGGACAAUACAAAGGGUAGCGAAACCGCGAGGUCAAGCAAAUCCCAUAAAGUUGUUCUCAGUUCGGAUUGUAGUCUGCAACUCGACUAUAUGAAGCUGGAAUCGCUAGUAAUCGUAGAUCAGCAUGCUACGGUGAAUACGUUCCCGGGUCU
rnacentral:rRNA from 1 species